GAAGGGCGUUUACAAAAUAAGGGGCGUUAAAUUGAAAAAAUGCAAUAAGCCUGGUUGCUAUUUUUACCAACAAAAUGAAUGAAACAUAUUGUUUACAACAGUUUAGAGAAGAAAAGGAUACAUGCUAACGGAUUUAAGAAAGCAUAAACAUUACAUUCCCUUCCUCCUUUCAAUAGCACGUUAUCGACAAGCAUUGUUAGUUGAAGGCGAAGGAAAGCAGUUAAUAGGAAUAUAAAGAGAGCUUUUCCUUUUCAAGUUUUUACAACAGGAAGAAUAGAAUAAUUAGUGAUUAAGUAACGACCUAAUUAAAAUAUAAAAAAAUUCUAUUCACGCUGAAGCAAAGUUAAACAAGAGAAGCAAUAGAAGGCGACACAACAAAAAAAGUUGGUAACCAUUUUUCGCCAGCAUGGAGCGCUACCAUUUUGUUUUCGCGUUCAUACUCUGCACUAUUUUGAAUUUUUCAACAGGUAAGGUUCUUCUUCUUUUAUUGUCUUAACAUUAUUCUUUCUUCAUUUGCACCAUUACUCUCUUCCUUAGAGCAUAGUAAAAGUUUCAAACAAGAUCAACAAAACCAGGGCUAAACUCCUGGUUCUCCAGUUUGGUUACAAAACGUGGAAGAGUUCAACGAACACAGCAAUGAUGUGAAUAUCGAGUUGCUUCUAAACAAGCUAGGCAUCAGCUUGCAAAAACCAACUUUCAAAUGGAAGAUACCAAAGAAACUAUUGACCUAUCCAACAUCAUGUGAACUGUUAAACUACUGUGCGGUGGAGAGUGCACCACCCGCAGGCGUCUACCGUCGGCAUCCUAUCUUCCCUUGGUGGUACUAUUCCUGUCAGCAAAAAACAGUGAAAUGUCAUUCAUGUCAACAGAACAUUGACGAUGAUCAACCAACAUUGUUUUUUUCAGAAAGAUGUCAAAAAUGCAUUUCUGCAUAUGGUAAGCAUUAGUGAAAGUGAAAAAAAUUAUUAAUAAAAAAUCAACAAAUAAAAUGACAUCUUGUGAAUCAAUAAUACUGCUUCGCUCUAUGCUGACUAUCACACAUUCAUUCAUUCAUUCUUUCAUUCAUUCAUGUUCUUCAUCGGUUUAUUUCUUUUAAAACCUAGCACACGUUUCUUUAGAAGACAACAUCGACUGCAUCAAGCGAAAAAAGCGGUUUGAAAAGUAAUCGCAACGAACAUAUAUUUUAGUAUAAAAAUGCAGCGCAGUGAGUGGUCAAAGAAAUAUGGACACAGAUACAUCACCGAGAAUUUUCUAAACACAAUUAGAAAGACGACAAUCAAAGAACAAUCACGCUGUCUCGUGUCCAAUAUGGUACCAGUAGCUACGAUCAAAUAAUAACUUAUUUAUUAAUAUAUUUAUGUAACAUAUAAUAAUUUAUGAUAGAGAAAAAUGAGCAAGAUAAAUUACC